UAGAAUGCAUCUUAGGAUAUCUAACAUUCUGAAAGAACAAAGUCUGCUGCUAGCUAGAAAACGUUCUUUCAUCUCUUCAGAUUAGAGAUAAAAUGUGUGAUCAGAUCAGCGAUGCUGUCCUUGAAGCCCAUAUCAGAGUUGAUCCAGACGCUAAGGUUGCUUGUGCUCUACAGUAUGUGUGGCCAAAACAGGGAUGAUCUUGCUCUGUGGAGAGAUCACUUCCAAAGCUGUAGUGGAUUAUCAGUAAAUUGUGUGAGACCCCCUCAAGAGGAUAGGCUAUGAUGACUCUUCAAAAGGAUUAGGCUAUAAGACUUGUGCAAUGCUGGUAGCUCUAGAACAACAGUGUGAAGAAAUCAAACAUGCUGUCUCCCAUGGCAAGAGUGACGAUGAUGUUGGAGCUGGGAACCAGGUCACAAUGGAAUACAAGGAAAAGGAUGGAGCAGUGGAGCCCAUCCAUGUACACACAUUUUGUGAUCUCUGUACAUCAUGCACCCAAUAUGCCUGUACAACAAAUGCGGAAAGAACUAAUGGAAAAAGUUGUCAAAGAAGUGAUUCCAGCAAAAUAUCUAGAUGAGAACACAAUCUAUCAUCUCCUUCCAAGUGAAGUGUUUAUAGAAGGUGGUCCUAAAGCAUCUUGCUACAUAGGUGGGAACUAUGUGUACCUCUUAAACGGGGGGUUGAAGUUCAUGCACCCCCGUGUGCACUGGAUGGCAUUGUGCCUGGGAGUCAGAUGACCUUUGCUGGAGUGGUGCAGCUCCUCACUGGGGCAGUGCCUGCAAGGGUGAUGCUGGACUGACUGGCCGAAAGAUCAUUGUUGAUACUUAUGGAGGCUGGGGAGCCCAUGGAGGAGGUGCUUUCUCUGGGAAAGAUCCUUCCAAAGCUGAUCGCUCAGCAGCAUAUGCAGCUCGCUGAGUUGCAAAAUCCCUAGUGAAAGCUGGUCUCUGUAGAAGAGUAUUGAUCCAGCUGUCUUAUGCUAUUGGUCUGAGCCAUCCUCUAGCCAUUUCCGUGUUCCACUAUGGCACUUCAGAUAGAUCAGAAGAAGAGCUGCUUGAAAUUGUACAGAAAAACUUAGAUCUACGCCUUGGAGUCAUUAUAAGGGAACUGGAUUUGAAGAGACCAAUAUAUCAACAGACUGCAUGUUAUGUGCACUUUGGAAGAGAAGAAUUUACAUGGGAAAUACCAAAGAAGCUUGUGUAUUAAGCUUUUCCAAACCUCUCUCUUAUAAUAGAGAAUCUUUUUAAUAAGCAGGUAUGACCUCUAAACUGUCAAAGGGGAAAAGGAUCUUUUUUAAAUCUAAUA